UACGUAGGGGUGCAAGCGUUAAUCGGAAUUACUGGGCGUAAAGCGUGCGCAGGCGGUUUGUAAGUCUGUCGUGAAAGCCCCGGGCUCAACCUGGGAAUUGCUGAAUGGAGACUGCAAGGCUUGAAUCUGGCAGAGGGGGGUAGAAAUUCCACUGUGCGUGAAAUGCGUAGAGAUGUGGAGGAACACCGAUGGCGAAGGCAGCCCCCUGGGUCAAGAUUGACGCUCAUGCACGAAAGCGUGGGGAGCAAACAGGAUUA
rnacentral:rRNA from 1 species